rnacentral:tRNA from 1 species
GCACUGGUAGCUCAGUGGUAGGAUUCUUUCCUUCCAUGUGAGAGACUUGGGUUCAACUCCCAGCCAAAGUA